UCUUAGGUUAAGCUUAUCUGCAAAGAGUAUAUAACUUAUCUGUGGAGGUCCUUUAUAUACUCUUCGCGUUUGGCCACGAACUAGUGCCCAAAUCGUCGGGUUGUACCUUUGUUACGGUGUAACAAAGGUAGAGCAAGUUUGUCGUAACAAAAUCGUAGCCUUAUGUGAAAACAAACCUUAGGCAAGUUUGUUAUAUCAAGUUUGUGCAUUCUUUGGAAUAAACAAACUUCAUGCAAGUUUGUUACAGUGAAACUAGAAAGUUUAGACUCAUAAUUAAUGCUCUGUAGGUACAUCUAUCAUUUUUUACAAAAUGUAAAUAUUAUUUUCCAUAAUUAAAAUGUAUACAAUAAAAUUGUAAAAUUGA